GACGAACGCUGGCGGCGUGCUUAACACAUGCAAGUCGAACGGAAAGGCCCUGCUUGCAGGGUACUCGAGUGGCGAACGGGUGAGUAACACGUGGGUGAUCUGCCCUGCACUUCGGGAUAAGCCUGGGAAACUGGGUCUAAUACCGGAUAGGAGCCAUUUUUAGUGUGAUGGUUGGAAAGUUUUUUCGGUGUAGGAUGAGCUCGCGGCCUAUCAGCUUGUUGGUGGGGUAAUGGCCUACCAAGGCGGCGACGGGUAGCCGGCCUGAGAGGGUGGACGGCCACAUUGGGACUGAGAGACGGCCCAGACUCCUACGGGGGGCAGCAGUGGGGAAUAUUGCACAAGGGGCGCAAGCCUGAUGCAGCGACGCCGCGUGGGGGAUGACGGCCUUCGGGUUGAAAACUCCUUUCGCUAGGGACGAAGCUUUUUGUGACGGUACCUAGAUAAGAAGCACCGGCUAACUACGUG
rnacentral:rRNA from 1 species